UACUCAUCGCCCUUCCGCUCCGCUCUGGUUUGAAUGCCGGCCACAUCGGAGCCGGCGCCGGGCUCCGUCACGCAGUAGGCACACAUGAUGGGCUCCUCCGUCAUCCUGCCCAGGUAUUUGCGCUGCUGCCGCUCGUUGCCCGCGAUGAUCAGCGGCAUUUGCCCGAGGGAAUUGGCCUCCAUGGCCGUCUGGACGCCGGUGCAGCCGUACGCCAACUCCUCCGUGAUGAGGCACGCCUCGAAGCUGCCCAGGCCCAGCCCGCCGCAGCUCUCGGGGAUGUGUGCGUUGAGCAGCCCCAGCUCCCAGGCACGUUUGAUCAGCGGCAUGGGGUACUCUCCGGUCCGGUCAUACUGUGCUGCCACGGGGAUGAUCUCCUCC
rnacentral:lncRNA from 1 species